ensembl:rRNA 5S_rRNA 5S ribosomal RNA
GCCAGCAGCAUACCACCCUGCAUCCCACUGCUGGCUUGCUUACAAACCUAAGCAGGGGUGGUUCUGGUCAGUCCCUGGAUAGGAGACCAGAUGCUGCUGGAA